UACAGAGGUGGCAAGCGUUGUUCGGAAUUACUGGGCGUAAAGGGCUCGUAGGUGGCCAACUAAGUCGAACGUGAAAUCCCCGGGCUCAACCCGGGAACUGCGUCCGAUACUGGAAGGCUUGAAUUCGGGAGAGGGAUGCGGAAUUCCAGGUGUAGCGGUGAAAUGCGUAGAUAUCUGGAGGAACACCGGUGGCGAAGGCGGCAUCCUGGACCGGCAUUGACGCUGAGGCGCGAAAGCCAGGGGAGCAAACGGG
rnacentral:rRNA from 1 species